rnacentral:rRNA from 1 species
UGAGGAAUAUUGGUCAAUGGACGAGAGUCUGAACCAGCCAAGUAGCGUGCAGGAUGACGGCCCUAUGGGUUGUAAACUGCUUUUGUUUGGGAAUAAUCGACAUUACGUGUAAUGUUUUGCAUGUACCAUUCGAAUAAGGACCGGCUAAUUCCGUGCCAGCAGCCGCGGUAAUACGGAAGGUCCAGGCGUUAUCCGGAUUUAUUGGGUUUAAAGGGAGCGUAGGCUGUUUGUUAAGCGUGUUGUGAAAUGUAAGAGCUCAACUUUUAGAUUGCAGCGCGAACUGGCAGACUUGAGUGCGCACAACGUAGGCGGAAUUCAUGGUGUAGCGGUGAAAUGCUUAGAUAUCAUGACGAACUCCGAUUGCGAAGGCAGCUUACGGGAGCGCAACUGACGCUAUAGCUCGAAGGUGCGGGUAUCGAACAGG